CUUGCUCGGAAAUCAAUAAUUGAGAAAAGGAAGGAAGAGCAGGAACGACAACUUUUGGAAAUGGAACGUGAGGAGGAAUCAAGAAGGUUAAAAUUACU